AUGGAUCGCAUGAUGCAUCUAGACCAGCACCAGCAAUGCGGCGACCAACGAGACGCCGCAAUGGCUACUACUGGCACGCGCAGCAGUGCUGGUGUCGGUGUCUCGCAGGUCGCCUUCGUGCUCGCCGCCGUUGCUUUCCUCUCAUUCAUCUCAUCGUCCUUGGGCGGCGCCGCCGCUGCCGGGGCUUCUUCUUCCUCUCUCCUUUCCGGCGCCGCCCUAUCAGCUCGCCUUGCGGCCUUGUGCGGCUUUGUCACCACCAAGAAGGCGCUGUUCGUCCUCUCCAAUGCCAUCUUCCUCUUCCUCGCCGCCGACUGCCGCUGCUUCUUCCCUGGCGUCUCCAGCAUGGCCAUCCCAUCCACGAGUGAUAACGAUGUCGUCACGGCUUCUGAAUUACCGCCAUGUGCCGUUCAAGCUCGGCCGUGUGGUUCUUAUUCAGGGAACCUUUACUACUGCUAUAGCAACACCAAGAGUGCAUCGGCGGAUUGCUCGGCGGCAGAGCAAGGGAUUAAACGAGAAGAGGCACCGGUGUCGUCGCGGCUCGAAACAGCUGGGCUCGACGGAGACGAAGCCAACAUCGUUGCCUUGGAGACGGAGCAAACCUGCGGUGGAGUAGCUGAGGAGGAGCUAGAGAGGCUAGAGAUCGACGAGCUCAACAGGAAGUUUGAAGAUUUCAUCCAAAGCAGAAGAAUCAAAUGGCUCAAGGAGGAGGAGGAGCAAGUAUUGCAAUCCAGCAGCAACAAGUAG
rnacentral:rRNA from 1 species